AUCCAACUGACGAGUCCCGAAUAGGACGAAACGCGAGUCAAAAUGGAU
rnacentral:hammerhead_ribozyme from 1 species